UACGAAGGGGGCUAGCGUUGCUCGGAAUCACUGGGCGUAAAGCGCGCGUAGGCGGAUCGUUAAGUCGGGGGUGAAAUCCUGGAGCUCAACUCCAGAACUGCCUUUGAUAUUGGCGAUCUUGAGUCCGGGAGAGGUGAGUGGAACUCCGAGUGUAGAGGUGAAAUUCGUAGAUAUUCGCAAGAACACCAGUGGCGAAGGCGGCUCACUGGCCCGGUACUGACGCUGAGGUGCGAAAGCGUGGGGAGCAAACAGG
rnacentral:rRNA from 1 species